UUUCCGUAGGUGAACCUGCGGAAGGAUCAUUAUUGUAUAACCGAGGUGCGAGGGCUGUCGCUGACCCGAAAGGUCGUGCACGCCCGAGUGCCCUCACACACAUCCAUCUCACCCUAUGUGCACCACCGCGUGGGUCCCCCUUUGGCUUGUUCGGAGGGGGGCUUACGCUUUCACACAAACUUUGUAUGCAGUGUAGAAUGUAUUUUUUGUUUUUGCGAUCACGCAAUCAAUACAACUUUCAACAACGGAUCUCUUGGCUCUC
rnacentral:misc_RNA from 1 species